rnacentral:rRNA from 1 species
UACGUAGGGGGCAAGCGUUGUCCGGAAUCACUGGGCGUAAAGGGCGCGUAGGCGGUUUGUUAAGUCAGGUGUGAAAGUUUUCAGCUUAACUGGAAAAGUGCACUUGAAACUAACUUACUUGAGUACUGGAGAGGUAAGCGGAAUUCCUAGUGUAGCGGUGAAGUGCGUAGAUAUUAGGAAGAACACCGGUGGCGAAGGCGGCUUACUGGACAGAGACUGACGCUGAGGCGCGAAAGCGUGGGGAGCGAACAGG